rnacentral:rRNA from 1 species
UACAGAGGGGGCAAGCGUUGUUCGGAAUUACUGGGCGUAAAGGGCGCGUAGGCGGCCUGCUAAGUCGAACGUGAAAUCCCUGGGCUCAACCCAGGAACUGCGUCCGAUACUGGUUGGCUUGAAUCCGGGAGAGGGACGUGGAAUUCCAGGUGUAGCGGUGAAAUGACGUAGAUAUCAGGAGGAACACCGAUGGGCGAAGGCAGGUCUCUGGGCAUUAACUGACGCUGAGGAGCGAAAGCAUGGGGAGCGAACAGG